GCCUCGGUGAGGCCUCUGGGUCCACCUCCCACCCGUGUCUAUCGUACCUUGUUGCUUCGGCGGGCCCGCCGUUUCGACGGCCGCCGGGGAGGCCUUGCGCCCCCGGGCCCGCGCCCGCCGAAGACCCCAACAUGAACGCUGUUCUGAAAGUAUGCAGUCUGAGUUGAUUAUCGUAAUCAGUUAAAACUUUCAACAACGGAUCUCUUGGUUCCGGCAUCGAUGAAGAACGCAGCGAAAUGCGAUAAGUAAUGUGAAUUGCAGAAUUCAGUGAAUCAUCGAGUCUUUGAACGCACAUUGCGCCCCCUGGUAUUCCGGGGGGCAUGCCUGUCCGAGCGUCAUUGCUGCCCUCAAGCACGGCUUGUGUGUUGGGCCCCCGUCCCCCUCUCCCGGGGGACGGGCCCGAAAGGCAGCGGCGGCACCGCGUCCGGUCCUCGAGCGUAUGGGGCUUUGUCACCUGCUCUGUAGGCCCGGCCGGCGCCAGCCGACACCCAACUUUAUUUUUCUAAGGUUGACCUCGGAUCAGGUAGGGAUACCCGCUGAACUUAAGCAUAUCAAUAAGCGGAGGAUUUCCGG
rnacentral:rRNA from 1 species